rnacentral:tRNA from 1 species
GCCUUCGUGGUGUAAUGGUCAGCACACUGAGCCGCUAUUUCAGAGAUCCGUGUUCGAUUCCCGGCGAAGGCG